rnacentral:rRNA from 1 species
GAUGAACGCUAGCGACAGGCUUAACACAUGCAAGUCGAGGGGCAACGGGACGUAGCAAUACGUUGCCGGCGACCGGCGGAUGGGUGAGUAGCGCGUAUGCAACCUACCCACGACAGGGGGAUAGCCCGUUGAAAGACGGAUUAAUACCCCAUAAAACAGGGGUUCCGCAUGGGACUAUUUGUUAAAGGGUUCUCCGCGAGGGGGACAUCGGUUGUGGAUGGGCAUGCGUUCCAUUAGGCAGUUGGUGAGGUAACGGCUCACCAAACCGACGAUGGAUAGGGGAACCGAGAGGUUGGUCCCCCACACUGGUACUGAGAUACGGACCAGACUCCUACGGGAGGCAGCAGUGAGGAAUUUUGGUCAAUGGACGGAAGUCUGAACCAGCCAAGUCGCGUGAAGGAAGGCGGCCCUAAGGGUUGUAAACUUCUUUUGUAAGGGAAUAAAGUGCGUUACGUGUAGUGCAUUGCAAGUACCUUACGAAUAAGGAUCGGCUAACUCCGUG